ACGUAGGGGGCAAGCGUUGUCCGGAAUUAUUGGGCGUAAAGCGCACGCAGGCGGUUUGUUAAGUCGGAUGUGAAAGACCGGGGCUUAACCCUGGUUUGUGCUGGAUAUUGGCGGACUGGAGUGUUGGAGAGGGAAGUGGAAUUCUCCGUGUAGCGGUGAAAUGCGUAGAUAUCGGGAGGAACACCAGUGGCGAAGGCGGCUUCCUGGCCCACAACUGACGCUCAUGUGCGAAAGCCAGGGGAGCAAACAG
rnacentral:rRNA from 1 species